rnacentral:antisense_RNA from 1 species
CUUCACAGAGCCCAGGAGCAACGGCCGCUCUUCGGGUCGGUCCUGGCCGUACGUGGCCAGCAGCGCCUGCGCCUC